ACACCCGUUGGUGAAGUGGUUAUCAUGCUUGCCUUCCAUAUUAUGUGGGCGUGUUCAGCAAGCGGCUCGGGUUCGAUUCCCGAACGGUGUA